rnacentral:rRNA from 1 species
GACGAACGCUGGCGGCGUGCUUAACACAUGCAAGUCGAACGAAGUGGCGAACGGGUGAGUAACGCGUAAUCAACCUGCCCUUCAUAGGGGGACAACAGUUGGAAACGACUGCUAAUACCGCAUACUGAAGUAGGGGGUUGUGUCUGAUUAGGUAGUUGGAGGGGUAACGGCCCCCCAAGGCGAUGAUCAGUAGGCGGUGUGGGAGGAUGAACGGCCCCAGUGGGACUGAGGCGAGGCCCAGACUCCUACGGGAGGCAGCAGUGGGGAAACUUCCGCAAUGGGCGAAAGUCUGACGGGGCAACGCCGCGUGAGUGAUGACGGCCUUCGGGUUGUAAAGCUCUGUUAAUCGGGACGCGGUACCGGAAUAGAAAGCCACGGCUAACUACGUGCCAGCAGCCGCGGUAAUAC